AUCCUGGCUCAGGAUGAACGCUAGCGGCAGGCCUAAUACAUGCAAGGCGAAGGGGCAGCAAUGUCACUGUCGUACGGGUGCGUAACGCGUAUGCAACCUACCUAUCACAGGGGAAUAGCCUUUGGAAACAGGGAUUAAUACCGCAUAAAGCAGGGACACCGCAUGGUGAUAUUGCUAAAGAUUUAUCGGUGAUAGAUGGGCAUGCGUCUGAUUAGUUAGUUGGCAGGGUAACGGCCUACCAAGACGAUGAUCAGUAGGGGGCGUCAGAGCGUGGUCCCCCACACUGGCACUGAGAUACGGGCCAGACUCCUACGGGAGGCAGCAGUAGGGAAUAUUGGGCAAUGGAUGCAAGUCUGACCCAGCCAUGCCGCGUGCAGGAAGAAGGUCCUCUGGAUUGUAAACUGCUUUUAUCGGGGAGGAAUAGUUUUCUUGCGAGGGAAUGUGACGGUACCCGAUGAAUAAGCCACGGCUAACUACGUG
rnacentral:rRNA from 1 species